GCACGGGUGCGUAACGCGUAUACAAUCUACCUUGUAGAGGGGAAUAGCCCAGAGAAAUUUGGAUUAAUGCCCCAUGGUAUUAUAGGACAGCAUUGUUUUAUAAUUAAACAUUCAUGGCUACAAGAUGAGUAUGCGUUCUAUUAGUUGGUAGGUAAGGUAACGGCUUACCUAGACUUCGAUAGAUAGGGGUCCUGAGAGGGAGAUCCCCCACACUGGUACUGAGACACGGACCAGACUCCUACGGGAGGCAGCAGUGAGGAAUAUUGGACAAUGGGCGGGAGCCUGAUCCAGCCAUGCCGCGUGCAGGAAGACGGCCCUAUGGGUUGUAAACUGCUUUUAUAGAGGAAGAAACACCCCCACGUGUGGGGGCUUGACGGUACUCUACGAAUAAGGAUCGGCUAACUCCGUGCCAGCAGCCGCGGUAAUACGGAGGAUCCAAGCGUUAUCCGGAAUCAUUGGGUUUAAAGGGUCCGUAGGCGGGACGAUCAGUCAGCGGUGAAAGUCUGUGGCUCAACCAUAGAAUUGCCAUUGAUACUGUUGUUCUUGAAUACUUAUGAAGUGGUUGGAAUAUGUAGUGUAGCGGUGAAAUGCAUAGAUAUUACAUAGAACACCGAUUGCGAAGGCAGAUCACUAAUAAGUCAUUGACGCUGAUGGACGAAAGCGUGGGUAGCGAACAGGAUUAGAUACCCUGGUAGUCCACGCCGUAAACGAUGGUUACUAGCUGUUCGGGAGCAAUCCUGAGUGGCUAAGCGAAAGUGAUAAGUAACCCACCUGGGGAGUACGUUCGCAAGAAUGAAACUCAAAGGAAUUGACGGGGGCCCGCACAAGCGGUGGAGCAUGUGGUUUAAUUCGAUGAUACGCGAGGAACCUUACCAGGGCUUAAAUGUAGGUUGACAGGGGUGGAAACACCUUUUCCUUCGGGCAAUUUACAAGGUGCUGCAUGGUUGUCGUCAGCUCGUGCCGUGAGGUGUCAGGUUAAGUCCUAUAACGAGCGCAACCCCUGUUGUUAGUUGCCAGCGAGUCAAGUCGGGAACUCUAACAAGACUGCCGGUGCAAACCGUGAGGAAGGUGGGGAUGACGUCAAAUCAUCACGGCCCUUACGUCCUGGGCCACACACGUGCUACAAUGGUAGGGACAGAGAGCAGCCACUUCGCGAGAAGGAGCGAAUCUACAAACCCUAUCACAGUUCGGAUCGGAGUCUGCAACU
rnacentral:rRNA from 1 species